AGGAGGAACAACCCCAGUGGCGGGGCCAGCUCUGGAAACCUGGAUUCAGCUCCGGCAGGAACUCUUGUCUGCAGGGCCUGGAGGCUCCGGGGCGGG
rnacentral:pre_miRNA from 1 species